CGUUGAACACGCUAUCUCCUACUUAUCUAUCACUCUCUCACACCGGCUCACUCGCUAGCCACUUCUUGUUAAAAGAACUCUCACUUUGCAGCAAAGUCAACAAGUCAACCAUUGCUCAUCAUCGAGAAAAAUGGACCCCAAGUGAAGCUUCUUGCUUGGUUUUGUUUCGUUUAAAGUAAGGUAUAUGAUACCAUGUUCUUACUCUUCUUCCACGAUGCACUAUGGAACUGAUUUUCUCCUCCAAUCCAUUUUCUCACGAGGGGUAUCUGCUUCGUUCCACCUAGUCUUUGUUAAUUGUGCUUGCUUGUGUAAUCGCUAUUGAAGAAAUUAAAGUGCAAGUGAACCAUAGAUAAAAGAGUGAAAAAAUUAGAUUCCAUAAUUCUGCUUUCUUGUACUAAAAGCAUAGCCUGGUUUGUAGCUUAGUUAUUUCUGUGUUCAACCUUGUGUUGGGCUUACUAAGUUACUUUUACUUGUCUAAACAUGAUGGCUUACAGGAGCAUAUCACAGUUUCUGAUUUGGCUCUAAAAACAGUUGUUUGGGGUGCUAUUUGUGCUUAUUUACAUUCUAGGAACUCUGAGGCACAGGACCCGAGUUUCCCAUGUUUGUUGAGAAUUUGGUGCUGGCCCUAAGCAUUUGUUUCUUGUUCUUGCCUUGUUAUUGACUUUGUAGUCUAUGGAAAGAAUGUUUUUUUGCCAAUUACAAACCUUGUUUCUGACAUAGGUUCCUCUAUUUCGGGUUUAAUUCUGUGUUAUGUUGGAUGUUCUCCUAAAAAUAUGGCUAAGCUUGCUUCUCUUGAAGAGCCCCUUUUGAAUGGUGACUCUAAAGUACAGAACAAUUCUGAUCCCAGUAAGACUAAAGGAAAUAACUAUUCAAUUGCUGGAGUUUUCAGCAUUCUUACUUUCUCAUGGAUCAGUCCAAUAAUAACCCUAGGCAAUGAGAAGACAUUAGAGCAUGAGGACCUCCCACUUCUUGCUACUGAUGACAGUGCCUAUGGGGUUUUUCCAACUUUUAGAAACAAACUAGAGUCAGAGUGCGGUAGUGUUAGGAAUGUGACCACUCUUAAACUCGUGAAGGUGUUAUUCUUGUCAACAUGGCAAGGAAUUCUUUUGUCAGGUUUAUUUGCAUUACUGUACACGUGUGCUUCUUAUGUUGGACCCUUUCUUAUUGAAAUCUUUGUUCAAUACCUCAAUGGGGAACAAAAGUUUAAAAAUGAAGGCUAUGUUUUGGCUAUGGCAUUUGUUGCUGCAAAGCUUGUGGAAUGUCUUUCACAGAGGCACUGGAUGUUUAGGUUCCAGCAAGUUGGGGUUAGGAUGCAAUCAAAGUUGGUCGCAAUGAUCUAUGCUAAAGGUUUGACUCUUUCAUGUCAAUCAAAGGAGGUUCGCAGCACUGGGGAAAUCAUCAACUUAAUGACUGUUGAUGCAGAAAGGAUUGGUGAAUUUUGUUGGUACAUGCAUGAUCCAUGGAUGUGUGUUUUGCAAGUUGCUUUGGCUUUGUUAAUUCUAUAUAGAAGUGUAGGGGUUGCUUCAAUAGCUGCUCUUGCUGCCACUGUAAUUGUGAUGUUGCUAAACUUUCCCGUGUCAUCAUUGCAAGAAAAGUUCCAAGGCAAGGUAAUGGAGUUCAAAGAUAAAAGAAUGAAGGCUACGUCUGAGAUUCUGAAGAAUAUCAGGAUUCUAAAACUGCAAGCGUGGGAGAUGAAGUUCUUGUCAAAGAUUAUUCAGCUUAGGAAGACUGAGGAGAUAUGGCUAAAGAAAUUUCUAGCUAGUACAGCAAUUAUUAAAUUUCUCUUCCAUAACGCCCCAACUUUUAUUGCUGUGGUUACAUUUGGUGCUUGUGCUCUUAUUGGAAUCCCACUUGAAUCUGGGAAGGUCUUAUCUGCACUUGCAACAUUCAGAAUUCUUCAAAUGCCCAUUUACGGUCUUCCUGACACAAUUUCAAUGAUUGCACAAACUAAAGUUUCCCUUGAAAGGAUUGCAUCAUUUCUUCGUCUAGAAGAGUUGCAGACUGAUGUAGUAGAAAAGCUUCCAUGGGGUAGUUCUGAUAAGGCUAUUGAAUUAGUAGAUGGAUAUUUCUCUUGGGAUUUAUCUUCCCCUAAUACAACACUGAAAAACAUAAAUCUCACAAUUUUUCAUGGUAUGAGGGUUGCUGUAUGUGGUACUGUUGGGUCAGGCAAGUCUAGCUUACUUUCUUGUAUAAUAGGGGAAGUACCAAAGAUAUCGGGAACGCUGAAGAUAUGUGGAACCAAGGCUUAUGUUUCUCAAUCGCCAUGGAUACAGGGUGGCAAGAUAGAAGAUAACAUAUUAUUUGGUAAAGAGAUGGACAGGGGAAAGUAUAAGAAGGUGCUAGAAGCAUGUUCCUUGACAAAAGACCUUGAGAUUCUACCAUUUGGUGAUCAGACUAUUAUUGGAGAGAAGGGAAUCAAUUUGAGUGGUGGACAGAAGCAAAGAGUGCAAAUAGCCCGUGCUCUAUACCAGGAUGCUGAUGUAUAUCUGUUUGAUGAUCCCUUCAGUGCUGUGGAUGCCCAUACAGGAUCCCAUCUCUUUAAGGAGUGCUUGCUUGGUCUUUUAAAAUCAAAAACUGUGAUAUACAUUACUCAUCAAGUAGAAUUCUUACCUGAUGCUGAUCUAAUAUUGGUCAUGAGAGAAGGAAGCAUAACUCAAUCAGGAAAAUACAAUGACAUUCUCAAGACAGGCACUGAUUUAAUGGAACUUGUAGGUGCACACAGAGAAGCUUUGUCUUCAAUUAAGUCCUUAGAGAGAAAGCCAACAUUUAAAAUAUCAAGUACAUCCGAGGAGGACCCAAAUUCAUUAAGUGAUUUUGAACUUGAGAAAAAUGUGGAAAACACAAAUGAUCAAACUGAUAAGUCAAAUGACACAGUUGAGCCCCAAGGACAACUUGUUCAAGAAGAAGAACGAGAAAAGGGUAGAGUUGGGUUUAAAGUAUACUGGAAAUACAUCACAACAGCUUAUGGAGGUACUCUUGUACCCUUCAUAUUACUUUCACAGACACUCACCAUCAGUUUUCAGAUUGCAAGCAAUUAUUGGAUGACUGUGGCAACACCUGUUUCAGCAACUGCAGAACCUGAUAUUAGAAGCUUUACACUUAUGGUUGUCUAUGUUGCUUUGGCAGUUGGAAGUUCCAUUUUCACCUUUGCCAGAGCAUUUCUUGCUGCGAUAGCUGGAUACAAAACAGCCACUGUGCUCUUCAAUAAAAUGCAUUUGAGUGUUUUUCGAGCACCAAUAUCAUUUUUUGAUGCCACCCCCAGUGGUCGAAUCCUUAAUAGAGCUUCAACAGACCAAAGCACACUGGAUAUGUACAUUGCAGAUAUAUUAUGGGCAGUUACCCUCAAUCUGGUUACUCUCUUCGGAAAUAUUUUUGUGAUGUCUCAAGCUGCAUGGCAGGUGUUUAUAGUAUUGAUUCCAGUCAUGGCAGCAUGCAUAUGGUACCAGCGAUACUAUUCUGCAUCAGCAAGAGAAUUGGCACGAUUAGUUGGUACAUGCCAAGCUCCAGUUAUACAACAUUUUUCGGAAACUAUCUCUGGAUCAACAACCAUAAGAAGUUUUGAGCAAGAAUCAAGAUUUAUUGACAUAAAUAUGAAAAUGAUAGACAGAUAUUCCCAACCCAAAUUAUACAGUGCUACUGCAAUCGAAUGGCUGAAUUUCAGAUUGGAUAUUUUAUCUACUCUCACAUUUGCCUGCUGUUUGGUUUUCUUGAUAUCUUUUCCAAGUUCAAUGACUGCUCCUGGUGAGUACUUCAAAAGACAUAAACUCACUAGUCAUACUUUAUUCCUUAUGACAUUAAACACAAAACUUUAUUCAUUUUUCAUUUCAAUUUUGUAUUAUUCAAGGAAUUGCGGGAUUGGCUGUGACAUAUGGACUUAAUCUAAAUGCUGUACAAACUAAAGUAAUCUGGUUUUCUUGCAAUUUGGAGAACAAAAUUAUAUCUGUUGAAAGAAUGCUCCAAUACACAUCCCUCCCAAGUGAAGCUCCUCUUGUAAUAAAAGAUAACCAACCAGAUUAUUCUUGGCCAUCAUUUGGAGAAGUUCAUAUCCGGGAUUUACAGGUUCAAUAUGCUCCUCACUUGCCUAUUGUUUUACGAGGUCUUACUUGCACUUUUACUGCUGGAGCAAAAACUGGUAUUGUGGGAAGAACAGGAAGUGGAAAAUCAACUCUUGUGCAAACACUUUUCCGACUUAUUGAACCUGUUGCUGGACAAAUAUUGAUAGAUAGCAUUAACAUCUCUUUCAUUGGAAUUCAUGAUUUGCGGUCCCGACUGAGCAUUAUUCCUCAAGAUCCAACAAUGUUUGAAGGGACAAUAAGAACCAACCUGGAUCCACUGGAAGAGUACACAGAUGAACAGAUUUGGGAGGCUCUAUAUAUGUGCCAACUUGGAGAUGAAGUAAGGAAAAAAGAAGGGAAGCUUGACUCCGUAGUUACAGAGAAUGGAGAAAAUUGGAGUAUGGGCCAAAGGCAAUUGGUCUGCCUCGGCCGUGUUCUACUUAAGAAAAGCAAGAUCUUGGUGCUUGAUGAAGCUACUGCAUCAGUUGAUACAGCCACAGAUAAUAUUAUUCAGCAAACAGUUAAGCAACAUUUUUCCGAAUGCACAGUCAUUACCAUUGCUCAUAGGAUAACUUCAAUCCUUGAUAGUGACAUGGUUUUGUUUUUAAAUCAAGGGUUGAUUGAGGAAUAUGAUUCACCAAAGAAACUGCUUAAGAACAAGUCUUCAUCUCUAGCUCAACUAGUUGAAGAAUACACAAGGAGGUCAAAUUCUGGUUUUGGAAAUUAAAUUGAAAAUGAAUUAGUAUUAACCUCGAACCAGACAUGUCUAUAUAUAUAUAUAUAUAUAUAUAUAUAUAUGGUCACCAUUACACUUCAUGUAGUGUUCUACCUUACUGGACUAUGGUAGAGAUUUUACUCACUCUGCUUCACAUCUGAGACUUGUACGAGACUCACUACACUUUACAUCUUACUCAUGCUCAAAUAAAUUAUGCAAACUUUGAACUGUGA